rnacentral:rRNA from 1 species
AGAUUGAACGCUGGCGGCAUGCCUAACACGUGCAAGUCGAACGGGAGUAGCAAUACUCUAGUGGCGGACGGGUGAGGAAUACGUAGGAAUUUGCCCUUAAGUGGGGGAUAACCCGGGGAAACCCGGAUUAAUACCGCAUGACCUCGAAAGAGCAAAGUGGGGGAUCGCAAGACCUCACGCUUUUGGAGAAGCCUACGUCGGAUUAGCUAGUUGGUGAGGUAAUGGCUCACCAAGGCGACGAUCCGUAA